GACGAACGCUGGCGGCGUGCUUAACACAUGCAAGUCGAACGAUGAAGCUGGAGCUUGCUCCGGUGGAUUAGUGGCGAACGGGUGAGUAACACGUGAGCAUUCUGCCCUUCACUCUGGGAUAACUGCGGGAAACUGUAGCUAAUACCGGAUACGAGACCUUGGGGCAUCCCAGGGUCUGGAAAGAAUUUCGGUGAAGGAUGAGCUCGCGGCCUAUCAGCUAGUUGGUGAGGUAAUGGCUCACCAAGGCGACGACGGGUAGCCGGCCUGAGAGGGUGACCGGCCACACUGGGACUGAGACACGGCCCAGACUCCCACGGGAGGCAGCAGUGGGGAAUAUUGCACAAUGGGCGAAAGCCUGAUGCAGCAACGCCGCGUGAGGGAUGAGGGCCUUCGGGUUGUAAACCUCUUUUAGUAGGGAAGAAGCGCAAGUGACGGUACCUACAGAAAAAGCACCGGCUAACUACGUGCCAGCCGCCGCCGUAA
rnacentral:rRNA from 1 species